rnacentral:snRNA from 1 species
UUACUUCCAAUUCAAAACUAAU